rnacentral:rRNA from 1 species
GGGUUGUGAGGUUAAGCGACUAAGCGUACACGGUGGAUGCCCUGGCAGUCAGAGGCGAUGAAGGACGUGCUAAUCUGCGAUAAGCGCCGGUAAGGUGAUAUGAACCGUUAUAACCGGCGAUUUCCGAAUGGGGAAACCCAGUGUGAUUCGUCACACUAUCAUUAACUGAAUCCAUAGGUUAAUGAGGCGAACCGGGGGAACUGAAACAUCUAAGUACCCCGAGGAAAAGAAAUCAACCGAGAUUCCCCCAGUAGCGGCGAGCGAACGGGGAGGAGCCCAGAGCCUGAAUCAGCAUGUGUGUUAGUGGAAGCGUCUGGAAAGGCGCGCGAUACAGGGUGACAGCCCCGUACACAAAAGCGCAUGUGCUGUGAGCUCGAUGAGUAGGGCGGGACACGUGGUAUCCUGUCUGAAUAUGGGGGGACCAUCCUCCAAGGCUAAAUACUCCUGACUGACCGAUAGUGAACCAGUACCGUGAGGGAAAGGCGAAAAGAACCCCGGCGAGGGGAGUGAAAAAGAACCUGAAACCGUGUACGUACAAGCAGUGGGAGCACAGGUUUACCUGUGUGACUGCGUACCUUUUGUAUAAUGGGUCAGCGACUUAUAUUCUGUAGCAAGGUUAACCGUAUAGGGGAGCCGUAGGGAAACCGAGUCUUAACCGGGCGUUAAGUUGCAGGGUAUAGACCCGAAACCCGGUGAUCUAGCCAUGGGCAGGUUGAAGGUUGGGUAACACUAACUGGAGGACCGAACCGACUAAUGUUGAAAAAUUAGCGGAUGACCUGUGGCUGGGGGUGAAAGGCCAAUCAAACCGGGAGAUAGCUGGUUCUCCCCGAAAGCUAUUUAGGUAGCGCCUCGUGAAUUCAUCUCCGGGGGUAGAGCACUGUUUCGGCUAGGGGGCCAUCCCGGCUUACCAACCCGAUGCAAACUGCGAAUACCGGAGAAUGUUAUCACGGGAGACACACGGCGGGUGCUAACGUCCGUCGUGAAGAGGGAAACAACCCAGACCGCCAGCUAAGGUCCCAAAGUCAUGGUUAAGUGGGAAACGAUGUGGGAAGGCCCAGACAGCCAGGAUGUUGGCUUAGAAGCAGCCAUCAUUUAAAGAAAGCGUAAUAGCUCACUGGUCGAGUCGGCCUGCGCGGAAGAUGUAACGGGGCUAAACCAUGCACCGAAGCUGCGGCAGCGACGCUUAUGCGUUGUUGGGUAGGGGAGCGUUCUGUAAGCCUGUGAAGGUGUGUCGUGAGGCAUGCUGGAGGUAUCAGAAGUGCGAAUGCUGACAUAAGUAACGAUAAAGCGGGUGAAAAGCCCGCUCGCCGGAAGACCAAGGGUUCCUGUCCAACGUUAAUCGGGGCAGGGUGAGUCGACCCCUAAGGCGAGGCCGAAAGGCGUAGUCGAUGGGAAACGGGUUAAUAUUCCCGUACUUGGUGUUACUGCGAAGGGGGGACGGAGAAGGCUAUGUUGGCCGGGCGACGGUUGUCCCGGUUUAAGCGUGUAGGCUGGUUUUCCAGGCAAAUCCGGAAAAUCAAGGCUGAGGCGUGAUGACGAGGCACUACGGUGCU